rnacentral:lncRNA from 10 species
GAGGGUGCGAACAGGAAGCAGAUGAGUCUCAGCAGGGUACCUGCAAAAGCCAGGCUCCCAGUCUGUCUGCUCUUGCUCCAGGGGAACACUGACCCUGCCGACUGCAGAUGUAGAAGCCUCGCCACAGUGAUGAGAACUGAAAUGAGUGAAAUCAACUCUCUGCCCUUCAAAACAAAAGAGCAGGCAGAAGUGUAAGGAGGAUGGCACAGUCCCAGAGACCAUAUGCAUCCUGCUGUGGGAGCCUGGGAGCUUAAUCAAAGCACCUACAGGUCCCGGGAUCUGACUGUCUUUUCCAGAUUUCAUCCCUUGGCUGUAUACCCGAAAAGGGCUGCAGGGCUGAGAUGUUUAAAGCAUGAAUGGAAAAUUUCUAACCUUCUCUCCCACUACCACCCCCAUGCGUUGCUCCAGCCCAGUCUGAACACCACGAGGUAUUUUAAAAUAAUUUCUACUUUGAUGAAUUGCUGGGGAGUCCACAAUUGCUCAUAAUCAAAGGGAGAAAAAUGCAAAUGAGAUCCGGCCGAGAACUAUCACCACCAAACGUUUAUUUCACUGCACAGUGCCAAAAAGAAUUAAAACAACAUUAAACUCACAGCAAUCAUGUUUAAGCCCUCGUUUCCAAGUGCCAAAUUGCACCACUCUGGAUCAUACAGAUGUUCGUUAAUUAUGCUAAUUUUUAUUAAACUAUUAAAAUGGAGAGAGUACUGGCUCAGUCAGGCAGACCCCAGCUCUGAAUGAACCCUGCUCCUGUCUAAAGGUGCUAAUUUACUGCAUUUUUAUUAAGUUGCUGAUUCUUGAGUUUUAGUUUUAGGAUGGCAAAGAGAACUGAAUUUCUGGGAUCAAUGUUUUCUACACAAGAAAUGGCUCGACCUCAACCAAGAUAUCAUUUGCAUAAUAAAAAAUUGUUAUAAAUUUAGGCUUAACUUGAAUUUCUCAGCAGAGCACUGAACUCCUGGCAAAUUUCCAUAGGAAUGAUCUUUCUGAAUGGACUUGAAGAUUAGCGUUCCUGUGGUCUAACUACUUCACAAUUAAAAGGCUCAGGCUUUGGUUCUCCACUGUCUGACCCCCACUGAGCUUUGCACCAUUCACCAGCUGCUGUUAUCCCCACCAGACAUGGCUAUGCAGAAGCAGUGAUGACUAUACAUUUUUUGAGAUGCUAGUU